GGUCAGUGAGCAGUGGAACUCUUCUUCUGACCUGCUUCCAUGGGGGUUUGCUUCCUGCCUGGAAGAGAUGACUCUAGCCUGGAGACUUGUACCAAGAGCUUUGUGCCUGGAGACUUCCUCAUCUAGGAUUCUCAAGAUGUGUCCUUCUCUGAGCCGUGCUUCCUGGACAUCUAGAACCAAGCUCAGUCUUCAUACAAAACCCAAAAUGCCUCCAUGUGACUUCACACCUGAACGAUACCAGUCCCUUGCCUAUGACCGUGUCCUGGAGAUCCACAAGCAACAUCUUUCUCCGGUGGGGACAGCAUAUUUCCAGAAGCCUUUGUUACUCCACCAGGGGCACAUGGAGUGGCUAUUUGAUUCUGAGGGAAAUAGAUACCUGGAUUUCUUUUCUGGGAUUGUCACUGUCAGUGUUGGUCACUGCCAUCCGAAAGUUAACGCAGUGGCACAAAAGCAGCUUGGACGCCUGUGGCACACAAGUUCAGUCUUCUUCCACCCUCCCAUCCACGAAUAUGCAGAAAAGCUUUCAGAGCUUCUGCCUGAGCCUCUUAAGGUCAUUUUCUUGACAAACAGCGGCUCAGAAGCCAAUGACCUGGCUAUGCUCAUGGCCAGAGCACAUUCAAAAAAAACAGACAUCAUUUCUUUCAGAGGAGCCUACCAUGGAUGCAGUCCUUACACACUUGGCUUGACAAACGUUGGGCCCUUCAAGAUGGAGCUCCCCAGUGGGAUGGGUUGCCAAUCAACAAUGUGCCCAGAUGUUUUCCGUGGACCUUGGGGAGGAAGCCAUUGUCGUGAUUCUCUCGUGCAGACAAUUAGGAAAUGCAGCUGUGCACCAGAUUGCUGCCAAGCUAAAGAUCAGUAUAUUGAACAGUUCAAAGAUACUCUGGACACUUCUGUGGCCAAGUCAAUUGCUGGAUUUUUUGCAGAACCAAUUCAAGGUGUGAAUGGAGUCAUCCAGUACCCAAAGGGGUUUCUAAAGAAAGCCUUUGAGCUGGUACGAGAGAGGGGAGGCGUGUGCAUUGCAGACGAAGUACAGACAGGAUUUGGAAGGCUGGGCUCUCACUUCUGGGGCUUUCAAACCCAUGAUGUCCUCCCUGACAUUGUCACCAUGGCUAAGGGGAUUGGGAACGGCUUUCCCAUGGCAGCAGUUGUGACCAGUCCAGAGAUCGCCAAGUCUUUGGCUAAAUGCCUGAGUCACUUCAACACCUUUGGAGGAAACCCCAUGGCCUGUGCCAUUGGAUCUGCUGUGCUGGAGGUGAUUAAAGAAGAAAACCUACAAGGAAACAGCCAAGAAGUUGGUACCUACACAUUACUGAAGUUUGCUAAGCUGCGGGAUGAGUUUGAAAUUGUUGGAGAUGUCCGAGGCAAGGGCCUCAUGAUAGGAAUAGAAAUGGUGCAAGAUAAGAUGAGCCGCAGACCUCUCCCCCGUGAGGAAGUCAAUCAAAUCCAUGAAGACUGCAAGAACAUGGGGCUCCUAGUUGGCAGAGGUGGCAAUUUUUCUCAGACAUUCCGCAUUGCACCCUCAAUGUGCAUCACGAAACCAGAUGUUGAUUUUGCUGUGGAAGUAUUUCAUUCUGCCUUAACCCAACAUGUGGAAAGGAGAGCUAAGGAUUGAUUUACACCUGAAUAUGUGACAUAUUUUGGGCCAAUGAAUCCUGAAGAAAGAUAUUUUGAUGGAGAUGCCUUCAAUGAAAGGUUCUUUACCCUUUACUCUUGUUACACUAAAAGAGAUGUCUUCUUGAACUGAAAAUUAUCAUACUUCAUGAAGAUGUUGUGGAGCCAUGUCAGCCAUCUUGUGACCAGGAGGGCAAAGCCUGUUUGCUGAGGUUGAAGGACACCUAGCUGAUGUCCAGAGAUGGAGAACUGGUGGCUGUGGAAAAGCCCAGCCCGUUGGUGUCAAGAAAGUAUAGAUACAAACAAUUAAGGCAGCAACGUUGUGAUUGCAAUGCGACAGGUAUAACAAAAUCUGACACAUUGAGCAUGGCGAAAGCAUAGUAAAUGGCGAAACAGAUGAAAGAAUCCACCUGAUGUUCCCAGACCACCAAAUAAACCAUCCCAGAAACUCUGGAAGCCCAGAGGAGCACCAAAGA